rnacentral:pre_miRNA from 1 species
AACUGUACCAAAACGUGCCACGCUGGAUGUGCUCGUUAGUCAUAAUAACCUCAUUUAGUAAGGCUUAUGACUAGAGACACAUUCAGCUUGGCGCGGAACUAUAAACAGU